GACGAACGCUGGCGGCGUGCCUAAUACAUGCAAGUCGAACGAACUCUGGUAUUGAUUGGUGCUUGCAUCAUGAUUUACAUUUGAGUGAGUGGCGAACUGGUGAGUAACACGUGGGAAACCUGCCCAGAAGCGGGGGAUAACACCUGGAAACAGAUGCUAAUACCGCAUAACAACUUGGACCGCAUGGUCCGAGUUUGAAAGAUGGCUUCGGCUAUCACUUUUGGAUGGUCCCGCGGCGUAUUAGCUAGAUGGUGGGGUAACGGCUCACCAUGGCAAUGAUACGUAGCCGACCUGAGAGGGUAAUCGGCCACAUUGGGACUGAGACACGGCCCAAACUCCUACGGGAGGCAGCAGUAGGGAAUCUUCCACAAUGGACGAAAGUCUGAUGGAGCAACGCCGCGUGAGUGAAGAAGGGUUUCGGCUCGUAAAACUCUGUUGUUAAAGAAGAACAUAUCUGAGAGUAACUGUUCAGGUAUUGACGGUAUUUAACCAGAAAGCCACGGCUAACUACGUGCCAGCAGCCGCGGUAAUACGUAGGUGGCAAGCGUUGUCCGGAUUUAUUGGGCGUAAAGCGAGCGCAGGCGGUUUUUUAAGUCUGAUGUGAAAGCCUUCGGCUCAACCGAAGAAGUGCAUCGGAAACUGGGAAACUUGAGUGCAGAAGAGGACAGUGGAACUCCAUGUGUAGCGGUGAAAUGCGUAGAUAUAUGGAAGAACACCAGUGGCGAAGGCGGCUGUCUGGUCUGUAACUGACGCUGAGGCUCGAAAGUAUGGGUAGCAAACAGGAUUAGAUACCCUGGUAGUCCAUACCGUAAACGAUGAAUGCUAAGUGUUGGAGGGUUUCCGCCCUUCAGUGCUGCAGCUAACGCAUUAAGCAUUCCGCCUGGGGAGUACGGCCGCAAGGCUGAAACUCAAAGGAAUUGACGGGGGCCCGCACAAGCGGUGGAGCAUGUGGUUUAAUUCGAAGCUACGCGAAGAACCUUACCAGGUCUUGACAUACUAUGCAAAUCUAAGAGAUUAGACGUUCCCUUCGGGGACAUGGAUACAGGUGGUGCAUGGUUGUCGUCAGCUCGUGUCGUGAGAUGUUGGGUUAAGUCCCGCAACGAGCGCAACCCUUAUUAUCAGUUGCCAGCAUUAAGUUGGGCACUCUGGUGAGACUGCCGGUGACAAACCGGAGGAAGGUGGGGAUGACGUCAAAUCAUCAUGCCCCUUAUGACCUGGGCUACACACGUGCUACAAUGGAUGGUACAACGAGUUGCGAACUCGCGAGAGUAAGCUAAUCUCUUAAAGCCAUUCUCAGUUCGGAUUGUAGGCUGCAACUCGCCUACAUGAAGUCGGAAUCGCUAGUAAUCGCGGAUCAGCAUGCCGCGGUGAAUACGUUCCCGGGCCUUGUACACACCGCCCGUCACACCAUGAGAGUUUGUAACACCCAAAGUCGGUGGGGUAACCUUUUAGGAACCAGCCGCCUAAGGUGGGACAGAUGAUUAGGGUGAAG
rnacentral:rRNA from 12 species